UACAUGUGGGGCAAGCGUUGUUCGGAAUUACUGGGCAUAAAGGGUGCGUAGGUGGCUUGUUAAGUCAGGGGUGAAAGUUUUCGGCCCAACCGGAAAAUGGCCUUUGAUACUGGCGAGCUCGAGUGCGUGAGGGGUAACCGGAACGAGCAGUGUAGCGGUGAAAUGCGUAGAUAUCAAGUGGAACACCAGUGGCGAAGGCGAGUCUCUAGACCUUUCCUGACGCUGAGGCACGAAAGCCAGGGGAGCAAACGGG
rnacentral:rRNA from 1 species